UUGUAUAAUAAUCGACUAUAACAUAGAUCAUACCCUAUAGCCCAAAAAUAGUUUUUCCCAUAGGCUAAAUUGCAAAAGAGAUGUCUGUAAAUCAGCUGCCUCGGGUUCUCGCGAUAUGACGAGACAACGUCGGGUUCACAUGUUACACGAGAAUCUGGCGUAUAAGGUUAGCUUCCUCCCUCCCGUUUUAGGAAAGUUUGUUUCAUCCAAAUACUUCCCUUUAUAGGUAAGGCUGAACUGAAGUGAGUUCUCCUUCCUGCCAAGAAAAAAAAAGUCUGACGAAAAAGCGGAUGAUGUCUUCUACAAUGGCUUCACUCCAAAUGUCUUUGAAAGAACAAGAUGAAGGAUAAAGGCCAGAUCAACCGAUAGUAAGGAAGCGACCCAUGUCUUGUCUGGGAUUCUGCCGGAGCAGACCGGUCAGUCACCUCACGGCGCCAGAGGACACAACGCAACGCCUGCUGCCUGAUAAAUCACGGGACAAAUCAACAGAGCUCGGCUUGUGUCACAUAAUGAUAAGAGACAGCUUUGUGAAAACCAGAGGUCUGGAGUUUUGUCAGUGGAGGCCAGGUGAGCGAGGCCUCUUAUUGGUCGGAGAGCAGCAGCAGGAGCAGCCACC